AGCUCCAAUAGCGUAUAUUAAAGUUGCUGCAGUUAAAAAGCUCGUAGUUGCAUUUCCGAGGCAAGGGAUUAGUCCGACCUUUGGUGGGUAUUUAAUCCUCUUGCCUCGUCCUUGAGUGGUGCUUCUUGGUAUUAAGUUAUCGAGGAGAUAGCCGCUCAUCGUUUACUGUGAGAAAAUUAGAGUGUUCAAAGCAGGCUUAUGCCGUUGAAUAUAUUAGCAUGGAAUAAUAAGAGAGGACCUCGGUACUAUUGUGUUGGUUUGAGAACCAAGGUAAUGAUGAAUAGGGACAGUUGGGGGUAUUCGUAUUCAGUUGUCAGAGGUGAAAUUCUUAGAUUUACGGAAGACGAACUACUGCGAAAGCAUUUACCAAGGAUGUUUUCA
rnacentral:rRNA from 1 species